GAUGAACGCUGGCGGCGUGCCUAAUACAUGCAAGUCGAGCGAACAGACGAGGAGCUUGCUCCUCUGACGUUAGCGGCGGACGGGUGAGUAACACGUGGAUAACCUACCUAUAAGACUGGGAUAACUUCGGGAAACCGGAGCUAAUACCGGAUAACAUGUUGAACCGCAUGGUUCAACAGUGAAAGACGGUCUUGCUGUCACUUAUAGAUGGCUCCGCGCCGCAUUAGCUAGUUGGUAAGGUAACGGCUUACCAAGGCAACGAUGCGUAGCCGACCUGAGAGGGUGAUCGGCCACACUGGAUCUGAGACACGGUCCAGACUCCUACGGGAGGCAGCAGUAGGGAAUCUUCCGCAAUGGGCGAGAGCCUGACGGAGCAACGCCGCGUGAGUGAAGAAGGUCUUCGGAUCGUAAAACUCUGUUAUUAGGGAAGAACAAAUGUGUAAGUAACUAUGCACGUCUUGACGGUACCUAAUCAGAAAGCCACGGCUAACUACGUG
rnacentral:rRNA from 1 species